GUGCUUGCUUUGGAAGCAUAUAUAUUAAAAUUAGACUAAUAUAGAGAAAAUUUGCAUGGCCCCUGCACAAAGAUGAUAUGUAAAUUCUUGAAGCAUUUCACAUUUGU